rnacentral:rRNA from 1 species
AGUGAACGCUGGCGGUAGUCCUAACACAUGCAAGUCGAACGGCAGCACAGUAAGAGCUUGCUCUUACGGGUGGCGAGUGGCGUACGGGUGAGGAAUACAUCGGAAUCUACUUUUUCUUGGGGGCUAACGUAGGUAAACUUACGCUAAUACCGCAUACGACCUACGGGUGAAAGCAGUGGAUCUUCGGACCUUGCGCGAUUGAAUUAGCCGAUGUCGGAUUAGCUAGUUGGCGGGGUAAGGGCCCACCAAGGCGACGAUCCGUAGCUGGUCUGAGAGGAUGAUCAGCCAAACUGGAACUGAGACACGGUCCAGACUCCUACGGGAGGCAGCAGUGGGGAAUAUUGGACAAUGGGCGCAAGCCUGAUCCAGCCAUACCGCGUGGGUGAAGAAGGCCUUCGGGUUGUAAAGCCCUUUUGUUGGGAAAGAAAAGCAGCAGGUUAAUACCCCGCUGUUCUGACGGUACCCAAAGAAUAAGCACCGGCUAACUUCGUG